AUUGAACGCUGGCGGCAGGCCUAACACAUGCAAGUCGAGCGAGCGGCGGACGGGUGAGUAAUGUCUGGGAACCUGCCUGAUGGUGGUGGAGUACUCCUGGAAACGGUAGCUAAUACCGCAUACCAUCAGAGGUGCCCAGAGGGGAGGAGCUAGUAGGUGGGGUAAUGGCUCACUCGGGCGACGAUCCCUAGCUGGUCUGAGAGGAUGACAAGCCACACGGGAACUGAGACACGGUCCAGACUCCGACGGGAGGCAGCAGGGGGGAAUAUGGCACAAUGGGCGAAAGCCUGAUGCAGCCAUGCCGCGUGUGUGAAGAAGGCCUUCGGGUUGUAAAGCACUUUAAGUGGGGAGGCGUUACCCGCAGAAGAAGCACCGGCUAACUCCGUGCCAGCAGCCGCGGUAAUAC
rnacentral:rRNA from 1 species